UGUGGUCACAUUAGAUGUUGCUACUGGGU
rnacentral:piRNA from 1 species